CUCGUGGGGAGCAAGGAAGUCUGGGUAUCUCUGUGAGGCUCAGAGAGGGGGGAUGGGAAGACCUACAACCCAGCUCUCCGCUUCUACGAAAGCAGUGUCAAAAAGCUUGGAAUCUCGAAUCCGCUUGCCUAGGUGGGACGGUGGCUGGAUUUCCAGACUGACCUGCAAAGUCCCGUUUGACCCUUAAAUUCUCGGAGGAUUGCUAGCAUGUCAGCCACGCCCACUGGCGCUUUGACCCCUAUUGCUGCGGAAAUCCACUGUGAGGUUUCACUUGUGACAUCAGCGGGGCUUCCCUCCACUUGAGUCCCCGCGCCUGCCACACCUCAGAGCUGCUCCCAAAGGCUCCUUCUCUGCAGGGGAGACACCACUGGACACAGGGCCACCCCACGCUGGCCUAAGACAGAGCCUGACACACAGCGGGCUCUCAGGAGAUGUGGACAGAAACAGAAGAGAAAGUGGGGUGCAGAGUAUGAUAGGCAGCAGAAAGCAGAAUUGGGGGAAGAGGGAUGGACAGACGAGAAGGCAGUAGCUUUGGUCACUGCUCAGGUGUGUUGAGGGGCCGAGGCUGGACUAACAGGUGAGGCAGGACCUGUGCUGUACUUGGCGUCCACCUGCAUAAUUUUGCUUCUGCCUGGCUGGCAAAGAUGAGGGCAAGUGACACACACCUGACUAUGGACAGCCAGAAACGAAGCCCAGAUUGUCCCACCCCAGAGACCAAGGGGAGGAGACCGCCAUGUUGUUCAGGAAGCUUAGCAUGGAGACCCUUUUUCAGAGAAAAGCAAUCAGAGCUGUGAGAACACCAGGUACAGAGCUUUGGUUCUCAUCCUCCAGCACGUGAUUUCCUGAGCUGAGUCCUCACAGGCUUGAACCGGUGGAGAUCCACAGCAUCUGACUCACCGUGAGCACUGGGGCCCUGCACACCCACCCAGGCAGGAGCAGCCAGAGGGUUUGGACUGAAAAUCAGAAGAGCAACUGUCUUAGAAGUGCUUUCUGUGGGUCAAGCACCAUGAGUGAUUUAAAGCACACAAAUACACACAGGAAAUAUUGGGCUGUCGGAAAAGUCAUGAUGUAUUUUUUCUGUGUUUUCUACACAAUAUAAUGAAUCCUACUUUUCAGGUGUGGAAAUGUA